AGCCCUAGAGCGAAGUCUCAAAACAACCAGCCUCAAGAGAUCGCAAAAGUAAACAUUGGCUUCUUCUCGCAUCACUGUCUGUGCGCUAGCCGUCUUUUCCAUCUUCUCCCUCUCACAGGUUGGAGCUGCAAACAAGCUCAAAUUAUCGCCAUUUGAGUCGGCACUGGACACGCUGCAGAGUCAGAUCGGCUAUGCCUUCAAGAACAUUGGUUAUCUUCGCCGAUCAAUGACACACUCAUCAUUCUCCGAGGAGAACAAUAAGGCGUUGAGCAUUCUGGGAUCAAAUGUGAUUGACACAUCUGUCUCUAUGUAUUACCUAGGAAAGGACGCUGAGAUCUCCUCGAAAGACCUUAACCGCCGGAUAGCAGAUAACUCUAAAGUGGACACUUCAUGUGCUGUUGAUGGGAUGAGAUUGGGUUUGCACAAUGUCGUUAGAGUUUCUCCCAAAACUAAUUCGACGACUCCCUCAGUGGUUUGCAGUGCUUUCAGGGCGUUAUUUGGGGCUAUUGCUGUUGACACUAAGAAGGCUGAUGAUGCUGGCAUUGUGUUUUGGAAGGUUCACUGUCGUGAGGUUGGAAAAGCUACGGUUGUGUAAGUGAGCUUUCUCUUAUCAUUGUUCAUAGAAAAUGUGUACGAAGUGGUGUUUGCCUAGGUAGGGGACUCUACAGCAGGUUGACUGUUAAUAUGGUUAUGUAAAUAAUAUUUGUUUGCCCUGACUCUGAAUUUGGUUGAAAAAUGCAUGUUUAUGUUGGAGAAGUAAUAUUUUUGUACACAGAAUACCCUUUGAUUUGGUUUUGCUUUCUCA